GACGAACGCUGGCGGCGCGCCUAACACAUGCAAGUCGAACGAGCGAGAGAGAGCUUGCUUUCUCAAGCGAGUGGCGAACGGGUGAGUAACGCGUGAGGAACCUGCCUCAAAGAGGGGGACAACAGUUGGAAACGACUGCUAAUACCGCAUAAGCCCACGACCCGGCAUCGGGUUGAGGGAAAAGGAGCAAUCCGCUUUGAGAUGGCCUCGCGUCCGAUUAGCUGGUUGGUGAGGUAACGGCCCACCAAGCCUUCGAUGGAUAGGGGUUCUGAGAGGAAGGUCCCCCCACAUUGGAACUGAGACACGGUCCAA
rnacentral:rRNA from 1 species